rnacentral:rRNA from 1 species
AGGUCUUGCCUGCCCAGUGACAAGUUAAACGGCCGCGGUAUUUUGACCGUGCGAAGGUAGCGCAAUCACUUGUCUUUUAAAUGAAGACCUGUAUGAAUGGCGGAACGAGGGCUUAACUGUCUCCCCUUUCAAGUCAAUGAAAUUGAUCUGUCCGUGCAGAAGCGGACAUACUAAUACAAGACGAGAAGACCCUUUGGAGCUUAAGAUAAAAGAUCAACUAUGUCAAGAACACCAAAAUAAACUUAAACUAAAUAGCACCUGAUCUAUAUCUUCGGUUGGGGCGACCACGGGAGAAAACAAAGCUCCCACGCGGACUGGGGGAAACCCCUAAAACCAAGAAAGACAUUUCUAAGUCACAGAAUAUCUGACCCAAUAGAUCCGGCCCACCCGCCGAUCAACGGACCAAGUUACCCUAGGGAUAACAGCGCAAUCCCCUUUCAGAGUCCAUAUCGACAAGGGGGUUUACGACCUCGAUGUUGGAUCAGGACAUCCUAAUGGUGCAGCCGCUAUUAAGGGUUCGUUUGUUCAACGAUUAAAGUCCUACGUG